UACAGAGGUCCCAAGCGUUGUUCGGAUUCAUUGGGCGUAAAGGGUGUGUAGGUGGCGCCGUAAGUCGGGUGUGAAAUCUCGGGGCUUAACUCCGAAACUGCAUUCGAUACUGCGGUGCUUGAGGACUGGAGAGGAGACUGGAAUUCAUGGUGUAGCAGUGAAAUGCGUAGAGAUCAUGAGGAAGACCAGUGGCGAAGGCGGGUCUCUGGACAGUUCCUGACACUGAGGCACGAAGGCCAGGGGAGCAAACGGG
rnacentral:rRNA from 1 species